rnacentral:rRNA from 1 species
UACGGAGGUCUCAAGCGUUGUUCGGAUUCAUUGGGCGUAAAGGGUGCGUAGGCGGCGCGGCAAGUCGGGUGUGAAAUCUCGGAGCUUAACUCCGAAACUGCAUUCGAUACUGCCGUGCUUGAGGACUGGAGAGGAGACUGGAAUUUACGGUGUAGCGGUGAAAUGCGUAGAUAUCGUAAGGAAGACCAGUGGCGAAGGCGGGUCUCUGGACAGUUCCUGACGCUGAGGCACGAAGGUCAGGGGAGCAAACGGG